CAUAUUGCCUGGUUCUGCAUCCCUCUCCCUGUAAACUGAUAAUGUGCUUUCCUAGGUUUACUGAAGUCCAGUUGUGACAGGCAGCUUGAGUUUAAAAUUUAAUCCAGUGAAGAACAAGUGAUUGUGACAGAGAAUGAGCAUGAGUAUGAAACCUGAAACAGAAAGCAGAGGAAAGAUCCCUUCUGCUGCUGCUCAUCCUUAGGCUCGCCCUGCAGGCACCGCACCCAAAGAGUUGGAGCUGGCCUUGGGCAUACAGGAGUGUCUUCAAAAAUAUUGCAAUUUAGUCUCUAUACCUCAGACAGGCAGCAAGAAUGACAACAAUAAUAAUAAAUCACCAUAUUUCAAAGUCAAGAGAAAAAACUAGGUCUUUAAGAUUUUAGUCACUGUCUUAAUAACUUGUACUUAUUAAAAUUCAUAGACAUUUCAGUGAGAUCACAAAUUCACUCAAUUUUUGAAAAUCAGCAGCCAGUCAAGUCCUGAGACAAUGCUUUAUGCUCGCAAAAAGUCUGACAGAAAUUUUUAAAAAGUGCUUGCAUUUUUCAGUAUUAGUUGCUAUCAAUUCCACUUCUGAAUCCAAACAAGCAUGUGUGCACACAUGCAUGCACGGAUAUACAACUUACAACUUUUUCCUUAUAAUGGUUUCUUUCUUCCCUCCCACAAAAAAAAAAAAAAAAAAAAAGUAUUAAAAAAGAGCUUGUAUUGUUUCACCAAUGCAGAAUGUUAGUAAACUCUGAAUUGGUUCAUUCUUGGUAAAGUCUAUGAAAACCC